GGGGCGGUGGCCAAGCUGGUUAAGGCAGUGGGCUCAUAACCCAACGACCGCGGGUUCAAGUCCCGCCCGCCCUACCA
rnacentral:tRNA from 1 species